rnacentral:rRNA from 1 species
UACAGAGGUCCCGAGCGUUGUUCGGAUUCACUGGGCGUAAAGGGUGCGUAGGUGGCGUGGUAAGUUUGAUGUGAAAGCUCAGGGCUUAACCCUGAAAUGGCAUUGAAUACUACUGUGCUGGAGGUUUGGAGGGGGGACUGGAAUUCUUGGUGUAGCGGUGAAAUGCGCAGAUAUCAGGAGGAACACCGGUGGCGAAGGCGG